CCUACGGGGGGCUGCAGUGAGGAAUCUUGCUCAAUGGGCGAAAGCCUGAAGCAGCGACGCCGCGUGGACGAUGAAGGUCUUCGGAUUGUAAAGUCCACUAAGCAGGGAUGAAUAAGCAGCGGGUAAUAUUCGUUGCGAUGACUGUACCUGCCUAAAGCCUCGGCUAACUACGUGCCAGCAGCCGCGGUAAGACGUAUGAGGCAAGCGUUGUUCGGAAUUAUUGGGCGUAAAGGGCGUGUAGGCGGGGAGCUAAGUUAGAUGUGAAAUCCAUGGGCUUAACUCAUGAACUGCAUUUAAUACUGGCUCUCUUGAGUUCGGGAGAGGGAAGCGGAAUUCCCGGUGUAGCGGUGAAAUGCGUAGAUAUCGGGAAGAACACCAGUGGCGAAGGCGGCUUACUGGCCUAGAACUGACGCUAAGGCGCGAAAGCGUGGGGAGCGAACGGGAUUAGAUACCCUUGUAGUC
rnacentral:rRNA from 1 species